rnacentral:rRNA from 1 species
CCUACGGGAGGCAGCAGUGGGGAAUAUUGCACAAUGGGGGAAACCCUGAUGCAGCGACGCCGCGUGAGUGAAGAAGUAUCUCGGUAUGUAAAGCUCUAUCAGCAGGGGAGAAAAUGACGGUACCUGCCUAAGAAGCCCCGGCUAACUACGUUCCAGCGGCCGCGGUCAUACGUAGGGGGCAAGCGUUAGCCGGAUUUACUGGGUGGAACGGGAGCGUAGACGGCGCUGCAAGUCCGGAGUGAAAGCCCAGGGCUUAACCCUGGUACUGCUCUGGAAACUGUGGAGCUGGAGGGCGGGAGGGGCAGGCGGAAUUCCUAGUGUAGCGGUGAAAGGCGUAGAUAUUAGGAGGAACACCGGCGGCGAAGGCGGCCUGCUGGACCGUAACUGACGUUGAGGCUCGAAAGCGUGGGGAGCAAACAGGAUUAGAUACCCUGGUAGUC